GAGAGGUAAGSGGAAUUCCUAGUGUAGCGGUGAAAUGCGUAGAUAUUAGGAAGAACACCANUGGCGAAGGCGGCUUACUGGACUGWAACUGACGCUGAGKCACGAAAGCGUGGGGAGCGAACAGGAUUAGAUACCCUGGUAGUCCACGCUGUAAACGAUG
rnacentral:rRNA from 1 species